UACGUAGGGUGCAGGCGUUAAUCGGAAUUACUGGGCGUAAAGCGUGCGCAGGCUGUUCUGUAAGUCAGAUGUGAAAUCCCCGGGCUCAACCUGGGAAUUGCGAUGGAGACUGCAAGGCUAGAAUCUGGCAGAGGGGGGUAGAAUUCCACGUGUAGCAGUGAAAUGCGUAGAGAUGUGGAGGAACACCGAUGGCGAAAGGCAGCCCCCUGGGUCAAGAUUGACGCUCAUGCACGAAAGCGUGGGGAGCAAACAGG
rnacentral:rRNA from 1 species